GUAGUCAUAUGCUUGUCUCAAAGAUUAAGCCAUGCAUGUCUAAGUAUAAGCAAAUUUAUACCGUGAAACUGCGAAUGGCUCAUUAAAUCAGUUAUCGUUUAUUUGAUAGUACCUUACUACUUGGAUAACCGUGGUAAUUCUAGAGCUAAUACAUGCUAAAAGCCCCGACUUCGGAAGGGGUGUAUUUAUUAGAUUAAAAACCAAUGCCCUUCGGGGCUCUUUGGUGAUUCAUAAUAACUUAACGAAUCGCAUGGCCUUGUGCCGGCGAUGGUUCAUUCAAAUUUCUGCCCUAUCAACUUUCGAUGGUAGUAUAUGGGACUACCAUGGUUUCAACUGGUAACGGGGAAU
rnacentral:rRNA from 1 species